rnacentral:lncRNA from 1 species
UAUGACGCCCCUUUUUCUUCUUCCUGCAUUGCAUUCUUCUUCACCAAUUUCAUGACGAUUAAACCUCUCCGACUAGAUAAUCAAGAUAAUAAAAGAACAGAGCCAUCAAUAAGCUAUUGGAACCUCAGAGGUUAACUAUGAGACAGUAGCAGGAAAUAACGAAUGGUGGGUUCUGGUUGGGGAAAAUUAGAGAGUUGUACGAAGGUGAGGCUGUAUGUUCACAGGCAAACAUAUAUCGUGAAAGAGUUAUAAAUGAAGCACAUCACUUUGUCGGCAACAAAAAGAAGAUAUAUAUGUGAAAAUUCUAGUUGUUUGUUUCUUUUGUUUUGUUUGGUGUUAAGCUUUUGGUUAGCAUUCAAGUGUUUGGGUGAAAAUGUUUAGAACAUGAAUCGAAUUGAUGGUUGAUGUUUUUUCGGUUGUUUGUCAUAUUAUAAAAAAAUAAAUUUUUGAUGGUUCAAUUAU